ensembl:lncRNA
AUGAAACAUAAUACAGAUAGUAACUUAAAACAAUCUUUUACUGAUUUCCCCGAAUAUAUACAAGAACAUAAUUUUUAUGCUGAUAAAACUUAUAACGGCAGAACAGAAGAAAAAGAAGUUAACGAAGAAAAAAAAAAAAAUAAUAACAAUAAUAAUAAUAAUAAUAAUAAUAAUAAUAAUAAUAAAAUAAAUCAAUUAAUAUAUACACAUAAUGAAAGUAAAGAUAAAAAAUUUUGUACCCAAAGAAACUUAAAUGUGGAUUACUCAGAAAUAGAAAUAAAAAAUAUAUUGAAUAAAGUAGAAAGUAUGGAUAAUUAUAACAUGAACAAUAUGAACAAUAUGAACAAUAUGAACAAUAUGAACAAUAUGAACAACAUGAACAAUAUGAACAAUAUAAACAAUAUAAACAAUAUAAACAAUAUAAAUAAUAUAAAAAAUAUAAAUAAUAUAAAUAAUAUAAAUAAUAUAAAUAAUAUAAAUAAUUAUAACACUCAUGAUGAUAGUAUAAACAAUUAUGAAACUGUCAUUAUAAACAAUGAUAAUAUAAAAAAUAAAUUUAACCACUUACAAAAUUACUUUGCUUAUAAUAAAAAUAAUUCUUUACAAAAUAAUAUAAAUGUGUAUGAUCAAACCAUUAGUAAUGUUAUAAGUAAGAAUGGAAGGGGUGAAAAUAAAAAAACUGACACUAGUAACAACUUAGUUCAAAAUGGCACUGUAGUUAAAAAUGGAAAUGUAGUUAAAGCUGACAACGUAGUAAAUGAUGAUAAUAUAAUUAAUGAUAAUGAAUUAAAAUUAAAAAAGCAUAUUAAACUUUUAGAGUUACUAAAAUAUGUCAUUUUGCACCCAAACGAAACAAAUAAUAAUGAAUGUAACCAAAACAACGGGAACAGUAGUAAUAGAAAUCAAAAAGAAAACUACUACGACAAUAACAACAAUAAUGACAAUAACAACAAUAAUGACAAUAACAACAAUAAUGACAAUAACAACAAUAAUAACAAUAAUAACAAUAACAACAAUAAUGACAAUAAUAACAAUGCGAGUAUAAAGUUUAAUAAAAACUACAAAAUAAAUGACCCCGGCAAUGACAAAUUAUCAACAGAAACAGUAGGAGUACAUGAAUCCGAUACAUUUAAAAACCAAAAAAAAAAACGUUAG